UUGACAUAUCACAAACAAUUGUAUCGUCUAAUGCCCGAUCCGACUUUGAGAGAGAAUUAUAUAUAUAUUACGUACAAACACACAAAUAUAUGAUGAUCUCACAAAAAAAAAUUUCCCGAAAUUUUAUGUUUACCAUUUUCAUGGUACCACUUUUCAUUUUUACCACCACUAAAGGGACAUUUUCAAAAAUAUCUUCUUCAUUAAGUGGCAAAAGACUCUUAUACACUUGCUAUCUAUAUAUAUAUAUAAUAAAUCAUUAUUUAUAUAAAUAAAAAAAUAAUUUUUUUUAUGUUUUCGAAUUAUACCUUUUCAAAUUUGAACUUUUUUAUAAAUUUUUCUUUUUUCGAAUUUUUUUUCCAUUUUUUUUUAUUUUUUUCAAAAUUUCUUUUUGAAAAUCGAAAAUUAUGUUUGAAACUAUUUUUUCUUUUUUUAUAUAUUUUAAGUAUUUAUUUAUAUAUUUAUUAGAAUUCUAAAUUCACAUUCCAAAAACCUUACCCCACCCCUCAACUCUAUUAGUUAACCUUAAAAGUAUAAAUGUGUUUUAUCUUUUAUUGAAAAUGAGGGUAAAAAUGAUUAGUGUAAACAUGAAAGUGAUACGAUGAAUAUGGUAUUUGUGGCAAUUUCCCAAAAUAAAAGAUAAAACAAAGAGGCCAUGCCCAAACUUUUUUUUAAACGGGAUACCGUUUCAUAUUAAUUUCCAAGUGAAAAGUUUUUGGUUACAAGGCUUAAAACUAUGCCCAUAUUUGAAAAUAGAAACUGAAAUGAUGCAAGUUUUGGUGAGAGCAUCGAUGGCUUGCUUUGACGGCGUGUGUUUGAAGCUGAGAUGAUGAGAAGAAGCUGUUUUGGUGAGAGUUUCCCUAUCCAGUCCCAAAAGACGUGCUCGAAUCUGAAGGUGAAUCUCCUUGAUCAAUGAGUGCGCCGGCUUGUGAAUAUUGUUGUGGAGUCUCGAAUUACUCUCCUUCCAAGUGUAGUAGAAAACAGCCUGAAACACUAGAAGACGCAAAGGUCGGAGUUUCUUAUCAACUGCUAGCGAGAUGAUCC
rnacentral:lncRNA from 1 species